AUUCACUACUGGAAAGAGUAUCAUAUUCACUAUCUCUUGGUCGGUGACACUUAUAGACUGCCAGACAUAUUCCAACAACAUACAUUAGGAAAUAUUGCACUGAAGCUACAGAAAAGCAGAUAUGAUGUGUCUACAGUAGAUUUUGAAACACCAGCGCACUCAAUAUAAUCUUAAAGUGAUAUAAUAUUGGUAAUUAUGAAGCACGGUAAUUAUGAAGCAAGGUACCUUUCCAUUAGGCAUAAUAUUGGUAA
rnacentral:misc_RNA from 1 species